rnacentral:rRNA from 1 species
CUUAAUUGGGCGUUAAGUUGCAGGGUAUAGACCCGAAACCCGGUGAUCUAGCCAUGGGCAGGUUGAAGGUUGGGUAACACUAACUGGAGGACCGAACCGACUAAUGUUGAAAAAUUAGCGGAUGACCUGUGGCUGGGGGUGAAAGGCCAAUCAAACCGGGAGAUAGCUGGUUCUCCCCGAAAGCUAUUUAGGUAGCGCCUCGUGAAUUCAUCUCCGGGGGUAGAGCACUGUUUCGGCUAGGGGGCCAUCCCGGCUUACCAACCCGAUGCAAACUGCGAAUACCGGAGAAUGUUAUCACGGGAGACACACGGCGGGUGCUAACGUCCGUCGUGAAGAGGGAAACAACCCAGACCGCCAGCUAAGGUCCCAAAGUCAUGGUUAAGUGGGAAACGAUGUGGGAAGGCCCAGACAGCCAGGAUGUUGGCUUAGAAGCAGCCAUCAUUUAAAGAAAGCGUAAUAGCUCACUGGUCGAGUCGGCCUGCGCGGAAGAUGUAACGGGGCUAAACCAUGCACCGAAGCUGCGGCAGCGAACGUAUCACUUAAAGCGAUUCAGCGGGUUACGAUUGACGGAGCGAAGCGACGUCAAAGCGUAUACAAAGUCGAGUCGGUUUAAGGAUACGUUCGUUGGGUAGGGGAGCGUUCUGUAAGCCUGUGAAGGUGUGUCGUGAGGCAUGCUGGAGGUAUCAGAAGUGCGAAUGCUGACAUAAGUAACGAUAAAGCGGGUGAAAAGCCCGCUCGCCGGAAGACCAAGGGUUCCUGUCCAACGUUAAUCGGGGCAGGGUGAGUCGACCCCUAAGGCGAGGCCGAAAGGCGUAGUCGAUGGGAAACGGGUUAAUAUUCCCGUACUUGGUGUUACUGCGAAGGGGGGACGGAGAAGGCUAUGUUGGCCGGGCGACGGUUGUCCCGGUUUAAGCGUGUAGGCUGGUUUUCCAGGCAAAUCCGGAAAAUCAAGGCUGAGGCGUGAUGACGAGGCACUACGGUGCUGAAGCAACAAAUGCCCUGCUUCCAGGAAAAGCCUCUAAGCAUCAGGUAACAUCAAAUCGUACCCCAAACCGACACAGGUGGUCAGGUAGAGAAUACCAAGGCGCUUGAGAGAACUCGGGUGAAGGAACUAGGCAAAAUGGUGCCGUAACUUCGGGAGAAGGCACGCUGACACGUAGGUGAAGUGAUUUACUCAUGGAGCUGAAGUCAGUCG